GGAAAGUAGAAGGUUGAGCAUGUGAAGUUCUCAUAAGGAGUUUAAAUUUCAAAGAGACAUCUGAUCACUCUGGUCUUCCAAGCUAAUUUGGCCUCUUGGCCGAAUAUGCAGCGUGUUGUUCUACCCACUUUGUAGAGACUGGGUACCUAACAAUAAAGAACAGUAGAAUGAAAAACCUUCGAUUUUAUGAAAAACAAAUAGCCAUCAGCCACAAGACUAGUUUUACAAGCUUUUUGUUCCUGCCUGCAUUCAAAGUUGAAGAAAUAUCAGCAAACUUGCUCUUUAC
rnacentral:lncRNA from 1 species